UGGCUCAGGACGAACGCUGGCGGCGUGCUUAACACAUGCAAGUCGAACGAUGAACCACUUCGGUGGGGAUUAGUGGCGAACGGGUGAGUAACACGUGGGCAAUCUGCCCUUCACUCUGGGACAAGCCCUGGAAACGGGGUCUAAUACCGGAUAUCACCUUCACUGGCAUCUGUGAAGGUUGAAAGCUCCGGCGGUGAAGGAUGAGCCCGCGGCCUAUCAGCUUGUUGGUGAGGUAAUGGCUCACCAAGGCGACGACGGGUAGCCGGCCUGAGAGGGCGACCGGCCACACUGGGACUGAGACACGGCCCAGACUCCUACGGGAGGCAGCAGUGGGGAAUAUUGCACAAUGGGCGAAAGCCUGAUGCAGCGACGCCGCGUGAGGGAUGACGGCCUUCGGGUUGUAAACCUCUUUCAGCAG
rnacentral:rRNA from 1 species